UCCUCCCCCUCCCACUGACCAGUUCCCCCCCUCCGUGCCCGAGCCCACCGACGUGCCGACCCAUCCAACCAUCCCCCCCUCGGUAAUCGACACCCUGGGGGGCUCGUCGGAGUGUUGUGAAUGCAAGGACGAUGACGAUGACGACGACGAUGAUAGAUAUCGGUCGAAUCUAGUUUUAUCGCCGAACCAGCUGGGAGACAGGUCCCCCGUGGUGGUCGUGGUGGGCAACCCUGGCACCAACGACCUGGACUGGCUCUCACGGAUUCUCCAGUACGGCAAAUAGAUUAAGACACAUGUGGGUCGAUCUGCCACCCCAGCGUCUCAUCGAUAAGGAAAAUUGUCAGAAUAUUAUGAAAUUCGUACCAUUUUCCAGCAUGAGAUGAACGGUUGUGAUUUAGUAAAGGGAAAGCAUGGAGGUUAGGAAGAGGAAUAGCGGAACCACAUGCUAAUCAUUUGGGCAUUUUCUCAUGACACUGAGUUGGGAGAUUCACACCAGUAUUCCAAGGGCCCUGGCUCUGAAAGACACUGGAGUUCAAUCUCUCUUGCGCGCUUGUUAUUAUGUACAUUUCCAUUUGUUAGAGUAGCCUGACAUAAUGCAUUCAUACCAAGGAUGUACAGCUGUGUCACAUCAUUUUUAUGUUAUCAAUUUUACUCUUUGGCCAAAGUUCGUGGCAUUAAAAGACUUUUUUUUUAGACUAACAUUUGACUAAUUGCAACCGAAGGAGCAGUUUUGUUACGACUAUACGUAGCGUGUUUGUGUACACACUGAGAGAACUCACAUUUCAAUGUGCUUUUAAAAUUCAGUUACACCUAACUACCGACUAUGGAGUUAACAUGCUUGUCCCCAUUUAUUACUAGGAUUUCUUGAUAUAAGAAAAGACAAACUAACUUUGCUAUAUUAAAUGUUGUAGCCCCGCAAACCUUUCGAAAUAGUUAAGCUUCCAAAAGUAUUCCCUGAUAAGAAAUAAUCCUAUAUAAAGAGCUUAGCGAAUGUGGCAUUACAUGUGUCUUCUACAUUGUUUUUUGCAAUAACAAUUCUUGUUAAUAGAUGAUAAUCACAAAAUGCAAUGUCUCUGUUGGCUAUUGCUUACUGAUAAUCGACAUAUCAAAUUGUGUACUGUCCGAUGUAAUUAUGUCGCUUUGUUUACAUCUAAUAAUAAAGAGUAAUAAUAAAC